CAUAUGGGCCAAAGUUGGGCCCAACCUCAGUACUAAAGAUCGGCUUCAUCGUCGUUCUCCUUCAAAACGCAUCGUUUCAAGAAUUUAAACGCGAACACUAACCGGACUCACUGUCCACUGUGCAGUGACUACAGAGCAAGAAAAUGGAGGCCGUUGGAGCUGGUAUACGAGCUCGAAGAUCAUCUUUCUUCUUCAGGAGUAUUGGAAUUGGAAUCGAUGGAAUCUUGGUCCUAGCCUCAGGUGGAGUAUUCAGUGCAUGAUUUGGGCAAGCUAGGGUUUUACAUCAUAACCAAAUUCUCCGUCAUUUCUUAAUAGCCAGGACGCCACUUCCUGCGUAUUCGAUCUAUAAGUGUAGCCCAACCACAAGCAAAAUAAGAUUCCUAUUGUUCCCAGGUAAAAUUCUUAAGGACAAAGUUAAGUAUAUGUAAGCUGUUCCUACCUUUAAAUGUGGCCUCCAUCGAUAUCUUGUAAUAGUUUGUAAUUAUGAUAAUGCUAAUGUGACUUAAUUGAAGACCACCACAUUUCCAUGCCCCCUAAAUUUUAAGCAUUAUCCUUUUGGUUUCAUGACGAUGUUUUUUAAAGUCAAAUGUGUUCAUUAUUUCCUUAUUUAUGAAUGUUGCUGUGAUUUGAACUUUUCAUUUGUUCAACGAGUGAAUAUGUUAUGGUACUUCCACCAAACGGACGGAGGAUAAAUAGAGUUGCACCUUUUGGUGGCCCCCUAUUGGGUUUGGAUAAAGAAGCAUAUUGGAUGAUUAGUCUAAAGUAAAAGAAGAUUUUCUCAUUUCUCUUUUAAUGAUAUCUUUUCAUAGAACUGGAUCUCUUUGGAUGGAAUAUACAGUAAGAUGCAAUGUCUC